rnacentral:rRNA from 1 species
UACGUAGGGUGCGAGCGUUAAUCGGAAUUACUGGGCGUAAAGCGUGCGCAGGCGGUUCGUUGUGUCGGCGGUGAAAGCCCCGGGCUCAACCUGGGAAUGGCCGUUGAAACUGGCGAACUGGAGUGUGGCAGAGGGGGGUGGAAUUCCGACGUGUAGCAGUGAAAUGCGUAGAUAUGUGGAGGAAUACCGAUGGCGAAGGCAGCCCCCCGUGGGUCAAGCACGUGACGCUCAUGCACGAAAGCGUGGGGAGCAAACAGG